rnacentral:tRNA from 1 species
AGUUUUAUAGUUUAUAAAAAAUUUUAAAUUGCAAGUUUAAAGAAAAAUGUUUUAAGACUU